rnacentral:rRNA from 1 species
AUGCACGCUGGCGGCGUGCCUAAUACAUGCAAGUCGAGCGAACAGAUAAGGAGCUUGCUCCUUUGACGUUAGCGGCGGACGGGUGAGUAACACGUGGGUAACCUACCUAUAAGACUGGGAUAACUUCGGGAAACCGGAGCUAAUACCGGAUAACAUUUGGAACCGCAUGGUUCUAAAGUGAAAGAUGGUUUUGCUAUCACUUAUAGAUGGACCCGCGCCGUAUUAGCUAGUUGGUAAGGUAACGGCUUACCAAGGCGACGAUACGUAGCCGACCUGAGAGGGUGAUCGGCCACACUGGAACUGAGACACGGUCCAGACUCCUACGGGAGGCAGCAGUAGGGAAUCUUCCGCAAAGGGCGAAAGCCUGACGGAGCAACGCCGCGUGAGUGAUGAAGGGUUUCGGCUCGUAAAACUCUGUUAUUAGGGAAGAACAAACGUGUAAGUAACUGUGCACGUCUUGACGGUACCUAAUCAGAAAGCCACGGCUAACUACGUG